GGGAGGAGAGGGUCAGCGCUGUGCCUGCAAAUCCCCAAGCAGAGGAGGCGCGGGGGCGUUGCAGGCGGGCGGGGUUGGGGGAGGGGAAGCGGUGGCAAACCCGAAGGAAGAAAGCUAACUUCAGGGGCAUCCCCCUCCUCCCCCCAGCCUCUGUUGGAAAUGAACUGCCGAUCUGAUUGCCCACUGUCGGGAGGUUAAGGGUUUUUUAAAAAAAAGGUGUCACCAGGUCUAGCUGUGGCUGUUAAGGGCAGUGUGAAAAGUGAUUAGCUCCAACCCCGCGGAGAGAAUCCCUGCCUGAGAGCUACUGGCUGACGUUCCCAGGCACCCGAGGCUGGCUUCCAGAGUCCCCUAGUCGGAGGGGGGUGAUUUGCUUACUAAUCAGAUGGGAGCGGAUUCUGAAGAGAACAUUUACAUUUGGGAGUUAGCGCGGUACCGGCGUAAAGAAGUGAUGCUGCUGACCACGUUUAGUGUGCAGAGCUGAACGCGACCCCGGGAGUAGGCAGAAAGCAGGCCUGGCCACCUAGGUCACUUGAACUGGGGAAGGAUGUGAAGCAGGCAAGGUGUGGUGCAGAGGAAACCCGAAAGGCCUCUUGAAGAGGGUAUUGGGCAGGGCCCGCCCUGGUUUUCCUCUGGUAAUUCUACAUAGAUGUCCAGUUAAAUCCCGGACCGGGACCCAGACCCCAGCAAAGCUCCCGGAAAACCCCUAGAGCCAGUCAUUGACGAAAAGUCGUUCCGUAACUGGAGCGGUCGGAACCCAGCCCUUUCCGGUUAGAGAUUAUGAGCACUUGAUCUUCGGUUUCUGUGCGCUCCUCCUCCGUCCAGACACCAGUCUGAAACAAACCCGAAUAGAAGAGUUUGGGGGAUGCUUUGGGAAGCUAGCUAACAAGCAUCCCUUCCUCGCGUACUUGGAGAAGUCUUGCACCGCACAAUUCCUCCCAGGAUAGGAUGCUUUGGAAUUUUGCUACCAAUAGAACUCUAGAGGCUUUACCUUUGCCUUGCGAAUGCACAAAGGCGCGCACACUCAGGCACACCCACACCCACGGGCUCGCUCCGAGUGCGCGCGUAGGCACCUGCGCAUAAUCAAGACCCACACAGAUGCCUCUUUGGGAGAUGAACUCAGCCUGGAGUACUUUAAGUGGUAACUGCUCCCAUUUCCUCCUCUCUUUCCUGGGCUCCCCUCUUUGCCGCCCAGCCCAGGUUCCAGGUUUAUCCCUGGAUGGUGCAUCCCUGGGUUUAGCAAUCUGAGCUAUCCUUUGGCUGCCUGAUUCCAGAAGAGCAGCGUGCCUGGGGCUGCGGUUCCCGCCGCACAGUCUCCGUCCAGUUUGGCUACACCGGCUGGGGCUCCCGGUUCCAGAGCAGUCUCCAGCAGUAGAUUGCAGAGCGUGAAGCGAGUUCGAGAGUCCGGGCAUCCACUCCGAGCAGCUAGAUACUGGCCAGUAAGAUUCCAUGCCAAUUUGUAAAGGGACUCUGGAGGACAAACACUUCAGCCAACACCCUGAAGUCUCCACUAAAAUCGAGAGCGCUUCCCCGGUGGGCUUCUGGUCAAGGAAGUGGAUAACCCAGUGCUCCAAGAAAUCCCAGGCGAGAACCUCCACGGAAGGGAGGUCAGUUCUGGAGGCACUCGAGAGAAAGUGAUGCUUUCUGAUUUCUCUUUAAACUUUGCAGCUUUGAGGACUCCAGGGCGACCGAUGGAGUCGCCCUAGCUCGGUCUCCAGGCAGAUCCAAAUGAGCACUUCCAAGUACUUUAGGACGUGGGGGUGACUCCUUUUUCCUUCAGGACUGUCCCACUUGUCCAGCUCAGCUGAAAGGAACUAGAGGUCUCCAAGAUAAGGAUUUGCAGUUCCAAGAAAGGGACAAAGUAUAUAUCCGAAUACUGAAUCAGAACCCCAAAGACUUUGCCUAUCUGGAUUGAGUAACUUCCUUUUUCCUUGUUUUUGAUUACAUUUUAUACCGGGACAGAGGUGAGAAAAGGACUCACCACCAAUUGGGCCAAGUGAAGAUGUUAACAGUAGGGAACAAGACAAAAUUCAAAUUUCACCUUGGGGUGCUUUUAAUUAAACCCGCGGGGGGUUGUUUUGCGGUGAGAAAAGUGACAUCAGCGUUUGGCUGAAGUGGGGAGCAGUGCAUAGGCUCUCAGUGUUCUUUCUAGGUUCAACUCUUUCCAGGCAGAAAUGGCCUCUUAACUUCACCUUCCAGGGCAGCGCUUACUGCUGAGGGUGUUUGCCUCUGCUCUCCCCGCUCCACCUCCCUCUAGGAAACUGUGUCUGCUGAGGCAGGAAUCUUUCACUCUGCAGAAACCGCAAGCUUUUCUCUGCUAUUUUAAUAUUGAACCGAGCAUAUGUUAGACACAUGAAGCAUGGGUGAAACAGAUUGCCCAGCUUGAAAAUCUUCCUCCUGCAGCAUAUGGAAACAAAUACAAAGACUCUCACCUGGACAUUGUGUAGAAAAUGAGAGACCUUGGAGGACUCAGGACUAAAAAGGAUGUCUCUAUCAAAUCCCUCCCUGCAGGGCUCAGGUCACCCUGCAGAAGAGCAGACAAAAAAAAAAAAAAAAAAAAAAAAGAGUAUAUGUGCCAAAGCAGAUGGAGGACACCAAGAAAACAAAGCCCUCUAAAUCAACAGAAUCUAAGCACAUAUAAACUCACGAGACUAAUGCAGCAUGCACAAGGCCUACACAGGUCUGUACCAGAUGCUGUCCUGGAGCUGAAAGGAAAAGUCGACAGAUGCUCCCAUUCCUAACCCUGUAACUAUCUCCAAUUGGUAUCCAUUUGCAAAUGAAAAUGAAGUUUCCUCCAAGCAAGUCUCACUGGAGAAACAAACUACUCUUAGGGGCAGAUGGCUUAGGAGUAGAUGACCAACAGAAAAUGAACUCAAUGGCAUCAUUGGAGGUUCCUUGUCUCAUCAUGUCAUGUCAGGGCUUUAAAAAACAAUUUUAGUACUAUAUAUAUAUUUUCUUUUUCUUUUUUUAACCCUACAAGUUCUUUGCAUAUAUAUUAUGCUUCUAGUUUAUUGUUUUUAUGGGAUUCCUGAGUGUCUGAACACAUGGGUCUCUGCAUCUAUAUUUGUUUUGUGUAUCUUUUCUUAGGCUCCUUUUCUUCUGUGUGUUUUGUCCUAUUCUUAAUUUAUUUUCUAGUGAGAGACAGAAAGGGGAUGGAUCUGGAUGAGAGAGGAGGUGGGAAUGAACUGGGAGAAGUAGAGGAAGGGGAAACCACAAUUAGGAUAUAUGAGGGAAAAAUAUCUAUUUUCAAUAAAAUGAGAAACACAUGAAAUGAAAAAGAAAGUCUUCUAAUUUCUAUUGUUACAGAAUUAUACUAUAUAAUAUAAGACACCCUUCUGUCCCUGCAAUAUAUUUCUUAUUAUGAUGUAAUAUGUGGCAAGGACUUCUUUUUCUCCUUAUUCUCAUGUAUUUUAUGUUUUCUUUAUGCUGAAAGGUGUACGAAACCUGCAAUAUUUAGGAUUUAAGGCUGAUGGAACUUUCAUGACUGAGAAAUUUUAACUUGUAAAUUGUUUUCUGAUACUGUAAAAAGUAUUCUGUAUAUUCAGGUCUGAUUUCAGACAUUUCAAGGAAAAUGUUCACUUUGGCUGUGCUGAAUAAACAGCUUUUAGGGCUGGUAGUUAAGUCACUUCUGCCUCCAGGGGAGGGAGAAGUGAGUGAUGGUGUUUUUCACCUACAGCUGCUGGACAAACCUGAAAAGAGAGCAAAUAUUUGCUUAAAUAUUUAGUGGGACUAAUUCUAUGAUGAGAACUGGGUCUUAUUGUUAUGUGAUUGAAAAAACAACCUUUGAAAAAAAUACAAAUGGAAAUACCUCACCUUAAAUGAUGCUAGCUGGUAAAUGCAAAUUUUAGUUCCCCAGAACAUGUUCAAAACCUUCAUCAGUCCACAUUUAUUCAUCAUUUCAAAUGAAUUCCAACCUCCCCAUCACAGAGAUCAGUCUCAGUGCUGUACAACAAUUCACACAUUCUCAUGAGAUCGUAAACAAGAAAUGACUAUGUUGAGAACACAUGCAUCUGAUAUGUUUUUACUUUUGUUCUUUUUGUUCCCCAAAGAAAAUGAACUAAAAAAAAAUCACAUAGACAUGAUUAACAUUGUUUACUAAAAGAAAAAUGAAAAUUCAAGUUUGUAUUCUUUAGUCUGUAAGAUGGGGGAGCUGUUGUGCUACAGAAAAUAGGCCCAUUCCAUUCCUUUCAGUACUUGGCUCUGAUUAAACCAUUUUACAUGAAAAUGUUGACCCAAGCCUUUGUACAUGAUAGCAUGACUGAGGCGGCAUAAGCUAAUGAAAAUGUGUGUCUAAAAGUGCUCCUUUUACCCCAAGUGUCAAACCUUGCUUUACUAAUACUUUAUUUAGAACAGGUACCAAUCAUUUCUACAACACCAAAAUUCAUUGAUUAAUAUUUUAUUUUUGAACUAAAAAUCAUCAAGUUGUACCCAAGAGAGUCUGCACAUCUGGGCAGCAUGAAAGUAUGUUUAUUUAAGAAUAAAGGCCUUGUUAGCAUUUGACUAUGCUUCCUCUUAAACCCUGAUAGACCCAACAAAUCUCUUAAUCCCUGUUAAGGGUAAGUGAAAAGAAAGCAAUACUAAUUUAACCUUGAGUAAAUCCAAGUCAGGAAAAUACAACCAGAAUGUCUUUAAUUUUUAAUCUUACAAAUAUGAAUACUGACAGGGGCAAAAAUAUUAAUAUCAUAAAUUAUAACUGAAAAUUAUUUUAAACUAGACUAGAACCUGGUCACAAGCCGGCAAAUGUGUCAUUCAUUUAUACAAUCGUUCCCCUGCUAUGGAAAUAACAUUAGCAGUUACCUUCUGCUGUGGAUGUGGGGAUAUGGACAAAGAGAAAAGCUUCUUUGCUGUGUGUGAUUGCUUUUCUAAUCCUUAUCUCAAAAGUUAGGAAGAACCCACAGCAGUAGGCAAGGGAGAUAACAGUGUAGCUUCUCUGCAAUGUGAGCAACCACUACAUGGGAAUUAUUUCCUUAAACUUGUUAGUCACCGGCCAUUGCAAUACGCUAUCAAUGCCCUUUUAUAUGUACUAAAAAUAUGAUGAUUUAAAGCUUAUGUAACUCAUGACUCUAGAUUAAUGAGUGUGAAAAGUGACUGAUUGUCCUGAAAAAUGGUAGCAUUGCUAGAACCCCAGCCACCCAGUCACAGUUUGUAGCUGACCGUGUCUUUGUUUAGGCAUUCUUUGUUAGUACUUCAGUGAUCCAGUUCCAACCCUCAAUACCUGGGAACAUUAUUUUGUAUUUUGCACUUUCAAGUCAGGCUUGAUGUCUUUCCUUGAUGUGUCUGUAAUGUCUACUAGAGUAGGCACUGUCUACAAGAAAUUUAAAAUGGAAGAAUAUUUAUAUAUGAUGGCAUGUAUCUCCCCAUACAGCAAAGCUUGACGUUUGUAAGCAUAUGUUAAAUGGUUCCUCCCUCAAGCUCUUUUAAAGUAUGGUUAACAAAUACUGCAUAGCCGGGCGGUGGUGGCGCACGCCUUUAAUCCCAGCACUCGGGAGGCAGAGCCAGGCGGAUCUCUGUGAGUUCGAGGCCAGCCUGGGCUACCAAGUGAGUUCCAGGAGAGGCGCAAAGCUACACAGAGAAACCCUGUCUCGAAAAACC